rnacentral:tRNA from 1 species
UGCCUGAUAGCUCAGUUGGUAGAGCGCCCGGCUGUUAACCAGGAUGUCGCAGGUUCGAGUCCUGCUCAGGCAG